CCUACGGGAGGCAGCAGUGAGGAAUAUUGGUCAAUGGACGAGAGUCUGAACCAGCCAAGUAGCGUGAAGGAUGACUGCCCUAUGGGUUGUAAACUUCUUUUAUAUGGGAAUAAAAUGUUCCACGUGUGGGUUUUUGUAUGUACCAUAUGAAUAAGGAUCGGCUAACUCCGUGCCAGCAGCCGCGGUAAUACGGAGGAUCCGAGCGUUCUCCGGAUUUAUUGGGUUUAAAGGGAGCGUAGGUGGAUUGUUAAGUCAGUUGUGAAAGUUUGCGGCUCAACCGUAAAAUUGCAGUUGAAACUGGCAGUCUUGAGUACAGUAGAGGUGGGCGGAAUUCGUGGUGUAGCGGUGAAAUGCUUAGAUAUCACGAAGAACUCCGAUUGCGAAGGCAGCUCACUGGACUGCAACUGACACUGAGGCUCGAAAGUGUGGGUAUCAAACAGGAUUAGAUACCCCUGUAGUC
rnacentral:rRNA from 1 species